UACGUAGGGGGCAAGCGUUGUCCGGAAUCAUUGGGCGUAAAGCGCGCGUAGGCGGCUCUGUACGUCUGCUGUGAAAGUCAAAGGCUCAACCUUUGAAAGCCGGUGGAUACUGCAGGGCUAGAGUCCGGAAGAGGCGAGUGGAAUUCCUGGUGUAGCGGUGGAAUGCGCAGAUAUCAGGAGGAACACCAAUAGCGAAGGCAGCUCGCUGGGACGGUACUGACGCUAAGGCGCGAAAGCGUGGGGAGCGAACAGG
rnacentral:rRNA from 1 species